rnacentral:lncRNA from 1 species
CAUAAUGUGUGCUAUUAUCUAUUACAUGUUUUCUACUUCCUUUCCAGCAAGGAACCACAUAUUUAUUUCUGAACUUUCUUAUUACCUCAUAGGGUGGGGUUCUUCUAAUUUCUGGAAUUGAAUCCCAUAUACAACUUUGUUUGUGGUUGUAAUGUCCAAACAUAAUUUAGGUUUAACAUGUUAAACUCCUAGCCAUGUCUUAAUGCUGUCAUGCUAAAUUUUAUCUUUCAGGCACCCACAAGCACCAGAGUAAUACACAGUUGUGCAUGCAGAUAAGGGAGCUUAGAAAUUAAGCCUGGAGCAUGUAUUCAUUUUUUUAGAGGAUGCGAGGUUUAAUUUUAAAAUAAAACCCCUAAUUUUUUCCCCUGAAUUUAAAGCUAGUUUCACAGCUCAUAAGAUGAACUAAUGAAACAGAAAUAAUUAAUGGACAAAAAUCUAUCCUUCAUUUCCCUCAUUGAACUAAAAUUCACAAACUAGUUGGAUGACAGAGGAUGAACAAAAACAGUGAGAGUUGAGAGUAAGUACUUUUAUCCUCUGUUCUUGUAACAAUCGUGACAUUAUGAAAUAACCAUAACAAUGGCACUCUUAUUAAUCAGACAUAUUUAUACAGAAUUAGUGUUGGCUUCUGCUCUAUAUUACCUUUAGUUUUACAUGAACUUUUAUUAUCUGUGCGUAUCAAAAGAGACAUGGUGAAUGAACAAAGAAGCCCUGUUAUGAGACAAGUAUUAUUUGACAUUUUGGGAAGCUCUUAUUAUAGGGUUUCCUCUUAAGUGAGAAUAACGGGAAGGUUGUCAUUAGUUGCACUAUUACAGACACUCUGGGUUUUUAAAAACAGAAAUGGAGCCCACUUUUUUCCUUGAAGAAGAUUCAUUAGUUAGAACAAUUCUAAUAUCCAAGACUUCUAUUUUCUCUCUUUUUUUUCUUUUUUUUUUUAAUUUUUGUUUUUGUUUUUCUUUUCUUUUUUUCCUUUUUAGGGCUGCACUUGGGGCAUAUGGAAAUUCCCAGGCAAGGGGCCGAAUCAGAGCUGCAACUGCUGGCCUGUACAACAGCCACAGCAACAUGAGAUCCGAGUUGCGUCUGAGACCUACACCACAGUUCAUGGAAUACCAGGUCCUUAACCACUGAGCAAGGCCAGAGAUUGAAUCUGCAUCCUCAUGGACACUAGUCGGGUUUGUUACAGUUGAGUCACUCUUUAUUUUUUUAAGCUGUAUCAUCAUCUUUAGACUUUCGGAAAAUCUCUGAUUAAACCCAAAUACAGAAGACUUACAAGGUAUAUAGCCCCACUGAAAACCAGAGGUCUUUUAUUUUUCAUCCUAAAAUAGGACAACUCUAAGUUCUUUGAAGGCCUUCACCCCAGGCAUAUAAGUGUGACUAGGAAUUAUGG